rnacentral:rRNA from 1 species
GACGAACGCUGGCGGCGUGCUUAACACAUGCAAGUCGAACGGAAAGGCCUGCUUUCCCUUGUGGAUUGCGGGUACUCGAGUGGCGAACGGGUGAGUAACACGUGAGUGAUCUGCCCCCAACUUGGGUAUAAGCCUGGGAAACUGGGUCUAAUUCCCGAUAGGACUGCAGGGUGGUGCCUGUGGUGGAAAACGAUUUUCUAGUGGUUGGGGAUGAGCUCGCGGCCUAUCAGCUUGUUGGUGGGGUAAUGGCCUACCAAGGCGGCGACGGGUAGCCGGCCUGAGAGGGUGGACGGCGACAUUGGGACUGAGAUACGGCCCAGACUCCUACGGGAGGCAGCAGUGGGGAAUAAUGCACAAUGGGCGGAAGCCUGAUGCAGCGACGCCGCGUGGGGGAUGACGGCCUUCGGGUUGUAAACUCCUUUCGACCGCGAGGAAGCCACCUGGUUGGAAGGGUGGUGACGGUAGUGGUAGAAGAAGCACCGGCUAACUACGUG